rnacentral:misc_RNA from 1 species
UUUCCGUAGGUGAACCUGCGGAAGGAUCAUUAUUGUAUAACCGAGGUGCGAGGGCUGUCGCUGACCCGAAAGGUCGUGCACGCCCGAGUGCCCUCACCCACAUCCAUCUCACCCCUAUGUGCACCACCGCGUGGGUCCCCCUUUGGCGUGUUCGGAGGGGGGCUUACGUGUUCACACAAACUUUGUAUGCAGUGUAGAAUGUAUUUUUUGUUUUUGCGAUCACGCAAUCAAUACAACUUUCAACAACGGAUCUCUUGGCUCUC